CCAGCCGCCGCGGUAAUACCGGCGGCUCGAGUGGUGGCCACUUUUAUUGGGCUUAAAGCGUUCGUAGCUGGGUUGUUAAGUCUCUUGGGAAAUCUGGCGGCUUAACCGUCAGGCGUCUAAGGGAUACUGGCAAUCUUGGAACCGGGAGAGGUGAGGGGUACUUCGGGGGUAGGAGUGAAAUCCUGUAAUC
rnacentral:rRNA from 1 species